GUCCACUGAACCUUAUCAUUUAGAGGAAGGAGAAGUCGUAA
rnacentral:rRNA from 1 species